GACGAACCGUGCGAACGUUAUUCGGAAUCACUGGGCUUAAAGGGCGCGUAGGCGGGCUCGCAGGUCAGGGGUGAAAGCCCACGGCUCAACCGUGGAAGUGCCUUUGAUACCGUGAGUCUCGAGGGAGGUAGGGGCGUGCGGAGCUUCCGGUGGAGCGGUGAAAUGCGUAGAUAUCGUCUGGAACGCCGAAGGUGAAAACAGCUCGCUGGGGUUGUGCUGACGCUGAGACACGAAAGCCAGGGGAGCGAACGGG
rnacentral:rRNA from 1 species